UAGGGAAUCUUCGGCAAUGGGGGGAACCCUGACCGAGCAACGCCGCGCGAGUGAAGAAGGUUUUCGGAUCGUAAAGCUCUGUUGUUAAGGAAGAACGAGUGUGAGAAUGGAAAGUUCAUACUGUGACGGUACUUAACCAGAAAGGGACGUCUAACUACGUGCCAGCAGCCGCGGUAAUACGUAGGUGGCAAGCGUUGUCCGGAUUUAUUGGGCGUAAAGCGAGCGCAGGCGGUCAAUUAAGUCUGAUGUGAAAGCCCCCGGCUAAACCGGGGAGGGUCAUUGGAAACUGGUUGAAUGGAGUGCAGAGGAGGGGAGUGGAAUUCCAUGUGUGGCGGUGAAAUGCGUAGAUAUAUGGGGGAACACCAGUGGCGAAGGCGACUUACGGGACACAAAUCUGACGCGGAGGAACGAGAGCGUGGGUAGCAAACAGG
rnacentral:rRNA from 1 species